rnacentral:misc_RNA from 2 species
UAGAGUUUUCUAAACUCCCAACCCAUGUGAACUUACCAUUGUUGCCUCGGCAGAAGCUGCUCGGUGCACCCUACCUUGGAACGGCCUACCCUGUAGCGCCUUACCCUGGAACGGCUUACCCUGUAACGGCUGCCGGUGGACUACCAAACUCUUGUUAUUUUAUUGUAAUCUGAGCGUCUUAUUUUAAUAAGUCA